rnacentral:rRNA from 1 species
UGCAGUCGAACGAGAAAGUCCUUCGGGAUGAGUAUAGUGGCGCACGGGUGAGUAAUGAAUAGGAACAUGCCUAUAGGUGGGGGAUAACCACGGGAAACUGUGGCUAAUACCGCGUAUAAUCUACGGAUGAAAGAGGGCCUCUGCUUGCAAGCUCUUGCCAAUAGAGUGGCCUAUUUCCCAUUAGCUAGUUGGUAGGGUAAAAGCCUACCAAGGCGACGAUGGGUAGCUGGUCUGAGAGGAUGAUCAGCCACACUGGAACUGAGACACGGUCCAGACUCCUACGGGAGGCAGCAGUGGGGAAUCUUGCACAAUGGGCGAAAGCCUGAUGCAGCAACGCCGCGUGAGUGAAGAAGGUCUUUGGAUUGUAAAGCUCUUUCGGCUAGGAAGAAGGGUGUGAGGGCUAAUACCCCUGAGAUCUGACGGUACUAGAAGAAGAAGCACUGGCUAAUUCCGUGCCAGCAGCCGCGGUAAUACGGAAGGUGCAAGCGUUGUUCGGAGUGAUUGGGCGUAAAGGGCGCGUAGGCGGGAAGAUAAGUUGAUUGUGAAAACCCCGGGCUCAACCUGGGACGUGCAGUCAAAACUGUUUUUCUUGAAUGCUUAAGAGGUUAGUGGAAUUCCAGGUGUAGGAGUGAAAUCCGUAGAUAUCUGGAGGAACACCAGCGGCGAAGGCGGCUAACUGGUGAUGCAUUGACGCUGAGGCGCGAAAGCACG